rnacentral:rRNA from 1 species
UACAGAGGGUGCAAACGUUGCUCGGAAUUACUGGGCGUAAAGCGCGUGUAGGCGGACUGAUAAGUCAGAUGUGAAAUCCCUGGGCUCAACCUAGGAACUGCAUUUGAAACUGUCUGUCUUGAGUAUCGGAGAGGAUUGCGGAAUUCCUGGUGUAGAGGUGAAAUUCGUAGAUAUCAGGAGGAACACCGGUGGCGAAGGCGGCAAUCUGGACGAUUACUGACGCUGAGACGCGAAAGCGUGGGGAGCAAACAGG